UGGGCUGUGAGCCAGUCCACCCAUCUAAGC
rnacentral:sRNA from 1 species